rnacentral:rRNA from 1 species
UGCAAGUCGCACGGGAUCAUUUUUGUAGUAAUACUGGAAUGAUUUAGUGGCGCACGGGUGAGUAACACGUGAAUGACAUGCCCUUCAGAGGGGGAUAGCCCAGGGAAACUUGGAUUAAUACCCCAUGGUCUCGCAAGAGUAAAGGUGGCGCAAGCUGCCGCUGAGGGAUUGGUUCGCGCCCUAUCAGCUAGUUGGUGAGGUAACGGCUCACCAAGGCGAUGACGGGUACUUGGUCUGAGAGGACGAUCAGGCACACUGGAACUGAGACACGGUCCAGACACCUACGGGUGGCAGCAGUCGAGAAUAAUUCACAAUGGGGGCAACCCUGAUGGUGCAACGCCGCGUGGAGGAUGAAGGUCUUCGGAUUGUAAACUCCUGUCAUCCGGGAGAAAGACCUGGCUGUGAAUAGCAGACAGGGUUGAUAGUACCGGAAGAGGAAGGGACGGCUAACUUCGUGCCAGCAGCCGCGGUAAUACGAAGGUCCCGAGCGUUGUUCGGAAUCACUGGGCGUAAAGGGAGCGUAGGCGGUUUGGUAAGUCAGAUGUGAAAUCCCGGGGCUCAACCCCGGAACUGCAUCCGAUACUGCCAGACUUGAGCAAUGGAGAGGUAGCUGGAAUUAUCGGUGUAGCAGUGAAAUGCGUAGAUAUCGAUAGGAACACUCGUGGCGAAAGCGAGCUACUGGACAUUUGCUGACGCUGAGGCUCGAAGGCUAGGGGAGCGAAAGGGAUUAGAUACCCCUGUAGUCCUAGCAGUAAACGGUGCACGCUUGGUGUGAGGGGAAUCGACCCCCCUUGUGCCGGAGCUAACG